UACGUAGGGGGCAAGCGUUGUCCGGAUUUAUUGGGCGUAAAAGACUUGUAGGUGGCCACGCCAAGUCGGAUGUGAAAUCUCCCGGCUCAACUGGGAGGGGUCAUUCGAUACUGGUGGCUCGAGGCCGGUAGGGGGAAGCGGAAUUCCCGGUGUAGUGGUGGAAUGCGUAGAUAUCGGGAGGAACACCAGUGGCGAAGGCGGCUUCCUGGACCGGUUCUGACACUGAGGAGCGAAAGCGUGGGGAGCGAUCCGG
rnacentral:rRNA from 1 species